UUCGUACUGGGCAGUUUAAAAGGUGUUCCAAUAUCGCAGUUAUCUCCGCGUGGACACUCCAUUAAACCGACCCCGCGUGUGAACACACUUGAUGAUGUUAUACCUAAGCUCCACUGCAACCAUUCACAAUGCCUCCAUUGGUAAGUCUUAUGUGUUUCUUUUUAAGGGAACUUCUAAAUUCGGCUCUUGCUUUUAACAGCACCAAAAUGCCCCUGAAUCAUAAUCUUAGGCAGAUCUUGGCUGAGCAGGAUACUACAAGGGGAGGGUGAGUGACAUUGUCUUAAAUGGGGGCAGAGGGAGAAAGAAGAGCCAAGAAUACUUGACUUCGUGGAUGUGGAAUAACACUAACCUUCGGCCACUAAACCUCUCCCUUACAGACAUAGUAUCUCCUAUGUCGAUUUCAGUUUCAAUCAGCUAAGGCAACCAGCCAAUCACCACCACUGGUGUCUCCUUCUGGUGAUUGAUUUGGAAAAAAUGAUUGGUCAAGAGAGACAAACUUGAGGAAAGCACUUGGUAAGAGAGUCACAACUUCCAGCUUUCCCACACAUCCUCUGUCCUCUUCUCCAUUAUAUGCUCCUCUUUUUUGUUACUGCCGUUUCAGAAAAUGUCCGGGCAUGAGCUCCAGUCCUGUUUUUCUUUACACUCCCAGUAUUCUCCCCUAUAAAUAUGGGUUAACUCCUUGGUAACAGGGUCCUUCUUCCGCUCAAACCACAGUGCCUUAUAGGGAUCAUAUGGUGUGCCU
rnacentral:lncRNA from 1 species